CAAGUCGAGCGGAUGAGAGGAGCUUGCUCUUGGACUCAGCGGCGGACGGGUGAGUAAUGCCUAGGAAUCUGCCUGGUAGUGGGGGACAACGUUUCGAAAGGAACGCUAAUACCGCAUACGUCCUACGGGAGAAAGCAGGGGACCUUCGGGCCUUGCGCUAUCAGAUGAGCCUAGGUCGGAUUAGCUAGUUGGUGAGGUAAUGGCUCACCAAGGCGACGAUCCGUAACUGGUCUGAGAGGAUGGUCAGUCACACUGGAACUGAGACACGGUCCAGACUCCUACGGGAGGCAGCAGUGGGGAAUAUUGGACAAUGGGCGAAAGCCUGAUCCAGCCAUGCCGCGUGUGUGAAGAAGGUCUUCGGAUUGUAAAGCACUUUAAGUUGGGAGGAAGGGUUGUAGAUUAAUACUCUGCAAUUUUGACGUUACCGACAGAAUAAGCACCGGCUAACUCUGUGCCAGCAGCCGCGGUAAUACAGAGGGUGCAAGCGUUAAUCGGAAUUACUGGGCGUAAAGCGCGCGUAGGUGGUUUGUUAAGUUGGAUGUGAAAUCCCCGGGCUCAACCUGGGAACUGCAUCCAAAACUGGCAAGCUAGAGUAUGGUAGAGGGUGGUGGAAUUUCCUGUGUAGCGGUGAAAUGCGUAGAUAUAGGAAGGAACACCAGUGGCGAAGGCGACCACCUGGACUGAUACUGACACUGAGGUGCGAAAGCGUGGGGAGCAAACAGGAUUAGAUACCCUGGUAGUCCACGCCGUAAACGAUGUCAACUAGCCGUUGGGAGCCUUGAGCUCUUAGUGGCGCAGCUAACGCAUUAAGUUGACCGCCUGGGGAGUACGGCCGCAAGGUUAAAACUCAAAUGAAUUGACGG
rnacentral:rRNA from 1 species